AAAUACCCACAGCCGAAGUCCUCAGCAGAAUCAGCUCCAGGAGGACUCCGCCCGGACUCCUAUGGGAGCCGGACUCCGCCAACAACCUCAACCGCAAGUAGACUCCGCCCGGACUCCUACAGGAGUCGGGCUCCAUCCUCAACAUCAGCUGCCGAUAAGCCUUGUCCGGACUCCUACGGGAGCCGGACUUCACCUUUAACUUUAAUUGCAAGAAGACUCCGUCCGGACUCCUACGGGAGUCGGGCUUCGUCCUCGACUCCAACGGCUGCAGACAGACUUCGUCCGGACUCCUACGGGAGCCGGACUCCGCCAACAACCUCAACCGCAAGUAGACUCCGCCC
rnacentral:lncRNA from 1 species